UACGGAGGAGGCAAGCGUUAUCCGGAAUUAUUGGGCGUAAAGCGCACGUAGGCGGAUUGCUACGUCAGGGGUGAAAUCCUGGAGCUCAACUCCAGAACUGCCUUUGAUACUGGCGACCUUGAGUCCGGGAGAGGUGAGUGGAACUGCGAGUGUAGAGGUGAAAUUCGUAGAUAUUCGCAAGAACACCAGUGGCGAAGGCGGCUCACUGGCCCGGUACUGACGCUGAGGUGCGAAAGCGUGGGGAGCAAACAGG
rnacentral:rRNA from 1 species